AUUGAACGCUGGCGGCAGGCCUAACACAUGCAAGUCGAGCGGAUGAAGGGAGCUUGCUCCUGGAUUCAGCGGCGGACGGGUGAGUAAUGCCUAGGAAUCUGCCUGGUAGUGGGGGAUAACGUCUGGAAACGGGCGCUAAUACCGCAUACGUCCUGAGGGAGAAAGUGGGGGAUCUUCGGACCUCACGCUAUCAGAUGAGCCUAGGUCGGAUUAGCUAGUUGGUGGGGUAAAGGCCUACCAAGGCGACGAUCCGCAACUGGUCUGAGAGGAUGAUCAGUCACACUGGAACUGAGACACGGUCCAGACUCCUACGGGAGGCAGCAGUGGGGAAUAUUGGACAAUGGGCGAAAGCCUGAUCCAGCCAUGCCGCGUGUGUGAAGAAGGUCUUCGGAUUGUAAAGCACUUUAAGUUGGGAGGAAGGGCAGUAAGUUAAUACCUUGCUGUUUUGACGUUACCAACAGAAUAAGCACCGGCUAACUUCGUG
rnacentral:rRNA from 1 species